CAGCAUAAUGGAUAGCAAUAUCUAUGGUGGCGACCGGCGCACGGGUGCGUAACGCGUAUGCAACCUACCUUUAACAGGGGGAUAACACUGAGAAAUUGGUACUAAUACCCCAUAACAUCAUGAAAGGCAUCUUUUAUGGUUGAAAAUUCCGAUGGUUAGAGAUGGGCAUGCGUUGUAUUAGCUAGUUGGUGAGGUAACGGCUCACCAAGGCAACGAUACAUAGGGGGACUGAGAGGUUAACCCCACAUUGGUACUGAGACACGGUCCAAACUCC
rnacentral:rRNA from 1 species